GACGAACCUGACAAACGUUAUUCGGAAUUACUGGGCGUAAAGGGCUCGUAGGUGGCCAACUAAGUCAGACGUGAAAUCCCUCGGCUUAACCGGGGAACUGCGUCUGAUACUGGAUGGCUUGAGUUCGGGAGAGGGAUGCGGAAUUCCAGGUGUAGCGGUGAAAUGCGUAGAUAUCUGGAGGAACACCGGUGGCGAAGGCGGCAUCCUGGACCGACACUGACGCUGAGGAGCGAAAGCCAGGGGAGCAAACGGG
rnacentral:rRNA from 1 species